AAUAGCAGCUGCACCUAAGUUUGAAUGCCUGAUAGUGUCCAGUUUUGGAAGCUAAGCAGGGCUGUGCCUGGUUAGUACUUGGAUGGGAAACCAAGUUGGAAGACCAGGGGCUGCUACCC
rnacentral:rRNA from 12 species